GUGGCUAUGUCAGAAGGUGUAUAUGAGUUAGCUUUAAGCGUUAAUUAUGGGGUUACCCUAGUCACU
rnacentral:tRNA from 1 species